GAUGAACGCUGGCUACAGGCUUAACACAUGCAAGUCGAGGGGAAACGACGGGGAAGCUUGCUUCCCCGGGCGUCGACCGGCGCACGGGUGAGUAACGCGUAUCCAACCUGCCUCUGACUGAGGGAUAACCCGUCGAAAGUCGGCCUAAUACCUCAUGGCAUCGUCUGCGGGCAUCCAACGACGAUUAAAGAUUUCAUCGGUCAGGGAUGGGGAUGCGUCUGAUUAGCUUGUUGGCGGGGUAACGGCCCACCAAGGCUACGAUCAGUAGGGGUUCUGAGAGGAAGGUCCCCCACAUUGGAACUGAGACCCGGUCCAAACUCCUACGGGAGGCAGCAGUGUGGAAUAUUGGUCAAUGGGCGGGAGCCUGAACCAGCCAAGUAGCGUGCAGGAUGACGGCCCUCUGGGUUGUAAACUGCUUUUAUGCGGGGAUAAAGUGAGGGACGUGUCCUUCAUUGCAGGUACCGCAUGAAUAAGGACCGGCUAAUUCCGUG
rnacentral:rRNA from 1 species